CGAGAAGGCGGCCGCCUGAGGACCCCCGCCCGCGACCUCCGCGAGUCUGGAGCGCAGAGGACAGGGUCUGGCUGCUCUUUGGCCUUGGAUGGAAAGUGGGGAAUUGGGUGGGGGGCUGCGGACCCCUUAACGUGGAUUACUUGGUGUGUAUCAGCUGGGCUCAGAAGACCCACGACCUCUUCUCCAUCCGUGGAUUGAUUUGUUCUGCUUAACAGCUGGGUCGCCAAGCUGGAGGUAUUUUUCCCUCUCCACCCUGGUCUUCUCCUGUAACGUGUGGCCGCCUUUUCCAGCACGGCCUCCUGCCUUCCUGGUGCACUUUUUGGAGAACGUGGUGGAAUCAGAGGUUUCUGGCUGACUCGGUGGGUGCUUUGAACCAGGAAAGGACAAGAAAGAGUGAAAUAGAAAACAAGAUCAUCUGUAUCAGGAAUGAUGGCAGAAGACGCUUAAAAUUCUGGCAUUGCCACUGAGAAGAAUGAAGGAUGGAGCUGAUUAGAAAAUUGUAGGAUUGCUGAGCACUGUGAGAGGUUUGUCUGAAACUGGCUCUUGACACUCCGUACCCUCCCCAUGUGUAGGGGUCUGUGAGCAGACUAGUGGUAUGCAGCCACUCUCAUAUGGGAGGGAAGCAGACCUUUUGUUGGCUUGGUCCAUAAGUGCGGUUAGAAGUGGAAUGAUGGGAAGCACUGUUAGAGUUAUUGGCAUAAGAAUGACCAUGGUCAAAUGGGCUGGGUUGGGAAGAAAAUGGCACUAGGAGUGAGGUGGCAAAUUUAAACAAAAGGGAGGGGUCUAGAGUGUGGAGAUGAUAAUGAGGUGAGAGAAUGGGCAUAGAGAAAAUGCUGGAAAGAUAGGACAUUGAGUCAGAGACCUCAGAUUUUAAAAGGUCAGAGGUAGGACUAUUUUGGGUGAUGAAAAAUCCAAGACAUGCCGUGAGAGUGAGUUGGGAAGAAUAUAGACAGCGAAAAGCAUUCAAAUAAUGGUCAAGGAACCAGAAAGUCUUAGUGUUCAUUGGACAUUGACCCCUUCUAGGAUGGUUGCAGAGGUUGGCUUCGAAAGAACCCAUGAGGCAGCAAGUGUGAGACGGAAGAACCCAAGAGCUCAGAGAUAACACUUGUUUUAGGGAUGAAGACUAACCCAACUCUCAAGGUAGAAUUCUUGAUAAACACGGUCUCCUAGGCAAAGAAGAUGAAGGGCAGGGAGGGUCUGUUCCUCUUUGUUUUAUUACCAAGUUAUGCUAGGCCUGAACUGGUGGAACUCGGCUUGUUUUAACAGUGAAGCGGCAAAGUGAGUUAUUUUCAGUAUACAGAGAAGUGGAAACUUCGACAAGAAGAGUGUCAAUGACUUGCCCAAAAUGACACCAUCAAAGUGCUGGCCUCAGUUUGUCACUUCAUCUCCCUCUUCCUUCCCCUUGGCUGCUUUUCUUGCAUGUAACCUAUUACAGCAGAGCCCGAUCAGCAUGGGCCUCCCUGUUGCG
rnacentral:lncRNA from 1 species